CCUACGGGGCGCAGCAGUGGGGAAUAUUGCACAAUGGGGGAAACCCUGAUGCAGCGACGCCGCGUGAGCGAUGAAGUAUUUCGGUAUGUAAAGCUCUAUCAGCAGGGAAGAAAAUGACGGUACCUGACUAAGAAGCCCCGGCUAACUACGUGCCAGCAGCCGCGGUAAUACGUAGGGGGCAAGCGUUAUCCGGAUUUACUGGGUGUAAAGGGAGCGUAGACGGCAGUGCAAGUCUGAAGUGAAAGGCAAGGGCUCGACCCUUGGACUGCUUUGGAAACUGUGCUGCUGGAGUGUCGGAGAGGCAA
rnacentral:rRNA from 1 species